UACGAAGGGGGCUAGCGUUGUUCGGAAUUACUGGGCGUAAAGCGCGCGCAGGCGGUUCUUCAAGUCAGUGGUGAAAGCCCGGAGCUCAACUCCGGAACUGCCAUUGAAACUGUAGAACUUGAGGAUGAGAGAGGUGAGUGGAAUUCCCAGUGUAGAGGUGAAAUGCGUAGAUAUCAGGAGGAACACCGGUGGUGUAGACGGCUCUCUGGACCGUAACUGACGCUGAGACACGAAAGCGUGGGUAGCAAACAGG
rnacentral:rRNA from 1 species